rnacentral:rRNA from 1 species
UACAGAGGGGGCAAGCGUUAUUCGGAAUUAUUGGGCGUAAAGAGCUCGUAGGCGGUCUGGCAAGUGGAUGGUGAAAUCCCUCGGCUUAACCGAGGAACUGCCAUCCAGACUGCUUGGCUUGAGACCGGGAGAGGUGAGUGGAAUUCCCAGUGUAGCGGUGAAAUGCGUAGAUAUUGGGAGGAACACCAGUGGCGAAGGCGGCUCACUGGACCGGUACUGACGCUGAGGCGCGAAAGCGUGGGGAGCAAACGGG